UCUUUAUGUCAGAUGCUAUUCAUUUGGGGGAUUAGGAUUGUGUUUAGUUCAAUGAAGAGGCAGGACAUGUGGUUGAGGAGUGCAAAUUCAGAGUGUUAUAUGUUUCUCCACCUCAGCCCCCUUCUUCAGUCCCAGAAAGGUCGGAGGAAGGGUCUUCACCAAGAGCUUCAAUAGUGGAGAAUGAAAAUCUUAAUGGUGCUGAGUUUUCCAAUGCUGCAAAAGGACUUUUGGAGCAGCUUGAAUCUCUGGAGAGAUCCGCAGAGGUCAAAUAUCUGUUGCUUUGAACCAUAGGAGAGAGGGUGUACUUUUUGAAUUUUAAAGAAACGGAAGCC